GGAGUUAGCCGGUGCUUCUUCUGUGAGUGAUGUCCUUCCUGCCGGCUAUUAACCCGCAGGCCUUCUUCCUCACUGAAAGUGCUUUACAACCCGAAGGCCUUCUUCACACACGCGGCAUGGCUGGAUCAGGGUUGCCCCCAUUGUCCAAUAUUCCCCACUGCUGCCUCCCGUAGGAGUCUGGGCCGUGUCUCAGUCCCAGUGUGGCUGAUCAUCCUCUCAGACCAGCUACGGAUCGUCGCCUUGGUGAGCCGUUACCUCACCAACCAGCUAAUCCGACAUAGGCUCAUCCGAUAGCGCGAGGCCCGAAGGUCCCCCGCUUUCCCCCGUAGGGCGUAUGCGGUAUUAGCCUGGGUUUCCCCAGGUUAUCCCCCACUACCGGGGCAGAUUCCUAUGCAUUACUCACCCGUCCGCCGCUCGCCACCAGGGAGCAAGCUCCCCGUGCUGCCGCUCGACUUGCAUGUGUUAGGCCUGCCGCCAGCGUUCAAUCUGAGCCAUAAUCAAACUCUGA
rnacentral:rRNA from 1 species